rnacentral:rRNA from 1 species
CUAGAACGAACGCUGGCGGCAGGCCUAACACAUGCAAGUCGAGCGCGCCCUUCGGGGUGAGCGGCGGACGGGUUAGUAACGCGUGGGAACGUACCCUUUGGUAGGGAAUAGCCACUGGAAACGGUGAGUAAUACCCUAUGAGCCCUUCGGGGGAAAGAUUUAUCGCCAAAGGAUCGGCCCGCGUUAGAUUAGGUAGUUGGUGGGGUAAUGGCCUACCAAGCCUACGAUCUAUAGCUGGUUUUAGAGGAUGAUCAGCAACACUGGGACUGAGACACGGCCCAGACUCCUACGGGAGGCAGCAGUGGGGAAUCUUGGACAAUGGGGGCAACCCUGAAUCCAGCCAUGCCGCGUGAGUGAAGAAGGCCUUAGGGUCGUAAAGCUCUUUCGCCUGUGAAGAUAAUGACGGUAGCAGGUAAAGAAACCCCGGCUAACUCCGUGCCAGCAGCCGC